rnacentral:rRNA from 1 species
GAUGAACGCUGGCGGCGUGUCUAAUACAUGCAAGUCGAGCGAACAGAUGAGGAGCUUGCUCCUCUGACGUUAGCGGCGGACGGGUGAGUAACACGUGGAUAACCUACCUAUAAGACUGGGAUAACUUCGGGAAACCGGAGCUAAUACCGGAUAAUAUAUUGAACCGCAUGGUUCAAUAGUGAAAGACGGUUUUGCUGUCACUUAUAGAUGGAUCCGCGCCGCAUUAGCUAGUUGGUAAGGUAACGGCUUACCAAGGCGACGAUGCGUAGCCGACCUGAGAGGGUGAUCGGCCACACUGGAACUGAGACACGGUCCAGACUCCUACGGGAGGCAGCAGUAGGGAAUCUUCCGCAAAGGGCGAAAGCCUGACGGAGCAACGCCGCGUGAGUGAUGAAGGUCUUCGGAUCGUAAAACUCUGUUAUUAGGGAAGAACAAAUGUGUAAGUAACUAUGCACGUCUUGACGGUACCUAAUCAGAAAGCCACGGCUAACUACGUG